ACAGGACAGUUAGGUUAUAGAGGGUCUAUGUCUACAGGUCAGUUAGGUUAUAGAGGGUCUAUGUCUAGAGGAUAGUCAGUUAGGUUAUAGAGGGUCUAUGUCUAGAGGUCAGUUAGGUUAUAGAGGGUGUAUGUCUAGAGGUCAGUUAGGUUAUAGAGGGUCUAUGUCUAGAGGAUAGUCAGUUAGGUUAUAGAGGGACUAUGUCUAGAGGUCAGUUAGGUUAUAGAGGGACUAUGUCUACAGGUCAGUUAGGUUAUAGAGGGUCUAUGUCUACAGGUCAGUUAGGUUAUAGAGGGACUAUGUCUAGAGGAUGGUCAGUUAGGUUAUAGAGGGUCUAUGUCUAG
ensembl:lncRNA